rnacentral:misc_RNA from 1 species
GAAAUGCGAUAAGUAGUGUGAAUUGCAGAAUUCAGUGAAUCAUCGAAUCUUUGAACGCACAUUGCGCCCCUUGGUAUUCCAUGGGGCAUGCCUGUUCGAGCGUCAUUUGUACCUUCAAGCUUUGCUUGGUGUUGGGUGUUUGUCUCGCCUCUGCGUGUAGACUCGCCUCAAAACAAUUGGCAGCCGGCGUAUUGAUUUCGGAGCGCAGUACAUCUCGCGCUUUGCACUCAUAACGACGACGUCCAAAAGUACAUUUUUACACUCUUGACCUCGGAUCAAGUAGGGAUACCCGCUGAACUUAAGC